rnacentral:rRNA from 1 species
CCUACGGGAGGCUGCAGUGGGGAAUAUUGCACAAUGGGCGCAAGCCUGAUGCAGCCAUGCCGCGUGUGUGAAGAAGGCCUUCGGGUUGUAAAGCACUUUCAGCGGGGAGGAAGGCGGUGAGGUUAAUAACCUCAUCGAUUGACGUUACCCGCAGAAGAAGCACCGGCUAACUCCGUGCCAGCAGCCGCGGUAAUACGGAGGGUGCAAGCGUUAAUCGGAAUUACUGGGCGUAAAGCGCCCGCAGGCGGUCUGUCAAGUCGGAUGUGAAAUCCCCGGGCUCAACCUGGGAACUGCGUUCGAAACUGGCAGGCUAGAGUCUUGUAGAGGGGGGUAGAAUUCCAGGUGUAGCGGUGAAAUGCGUAGAGAUCUGGAGGAAUACCGGUGGCGAAGGCGGCCCCCUGGACAAAGACUGACGCUCAGGUGCGAAAGCGUGGGGAGCAAACAGGAUAGAUACCCGUGUAGUC